GCACCUGUAGCUCAACUGGAUAGAGCAACGGUCUUCGGAACCGUAGGUUGGGGGUUCGAAUCCCUUCGGGUGUA
rnacentral:tRNA from 1 species